AUGGAGGAGCUCGCUGGCGACCGCCCCGGCCCGCCGCCGCUCUAUCUCCCGCUUCCCCCGGACGACCUGCUCCUGGAGAUCCUCCUGCGCCUCCCGCCGGAGCCCAUCUACCUCUUCCGCGCCUCCUUCGUCUCCAAGCACUGGCGCAGCCUCGUGCACGACGCCCGCUUCCUCCGCCGCUUCCGUGAGUUCCACGGGGGGACGCCUCCCGUCCUCGGCUUCUUCAACAACCAGUUGGAGCAUCCCCUCUUCGUCCCCACCUCCGGCGGCUUCGCGCUCUCCACCGCCACGAUGUCCCACGACGACUGGUGGGCCCUCGACUGCCGCCACGGCCGAGCCCUCCUGGAAAGGCUCGGAUCCGGAAAGCUCCUCGUCUGGGACCUCUUGACCGGCGACGAGCGCCACCUGCCCGCCCCCCCAGCCUGUGACGGGAUGUACAACGGUACGGUUCUGUGCGCGGCCGGCCACACCGUCCACGGCGACUGCCGGUCGUGCCCGUUCCUCGUGGUGUACGUGUUCAGUCGAAGUAGUUCUGCUAUCUGUGCGUGCGUAUUGUCAUCCGAUACUGGCGUCUGGAGUGAGGUCACCUCCAUCGAUGUACAAUCUUUAGUAGUUGAUCCGACACCGUCAGCUCUAGUUGGGAACACACUCUACUGGCUGCUGGAAUACAAUAAUAUCUUUGAAUAUGAUUUGGAUAAUCAUAGGUUGGGUCUAACUGCGAAGUUACCAGGCGACACUCUAUGUAGCUAUCGGGGGCAGGUUGUCAUCAUGCCGACAGAGGAUGGACGUCUUGGUUUGGCCGGAGUCGAAGGACCCAAUCUCCAUCUGUGGUCACUGCUGACAGGCAUUGACGGGCUCGUAACAUGGACACAUCAAAGGGUCAUAGAUCUCGAGAAUUUAUUGCACCGGAAGUGGUGGCAUUAUGUAUCUAUGGAGUUGAGGCGGUUGGUUUUGCUGAAGAUGCUGGGGUUAUCUUCAUUUAUGUGCACCCUAGUGUCUAUAUGA
rnacentral:rRNA from 1 species